GUACGCUGGCGGCACGCCUAACACAUGCAAGUCGAACGAAGUAGCAAUACUUAGUGGCAGACGGGUGAGUAACAUGUAGGUAUCUGCCCUUUGGCCUGGAAUAACACGAGGAAACUUGUGCUAAUACCGGAUAAGUCUUUACGGAGAAAGCUUUAUGCACCAUUGGAUGAGCCUGCACUUGAUUAGUUUGUUGGUGGGGUAAUGGCCUACCAAGACUGUGAUCAAUAGCUGAUUUGAGAGGAUGAUCAGCCACAUUGGGACUGAGACACGGCCCAAACUCCUACGGGAGGCAGCAGUGGGGAAUCUUGCACAAUGGAGGAAACUCUGAUGCAGCGAUGCCGCGUGAGUGAAGAAGGCCCUUGGGUUGUAAAGCUCUUUCGUCGGGGAAGAAAAUGACUGUACCCGAAUAAGAAGGUCCGGCUAACUUCGUGCCAGCAGCCGCGGUAAUACGAAGGGACCUAGCGUAGUUCGGAAUUACUGGGCUUAAAGAGUUCGUAGGUGGUUGAAAAAGUUAGUGGUGAAAUCCCAGAGCUUAACUCUGGAACUGCCAUUAAAACUUUUCAGCUAGAGUAUGAUAGAGGAAAGCAGAAUUUCUAGUGUAGAGGUGAAAUUCGUAGAUAUUAGAAAGAAUACCAAUUGCGAAGGCAGCUUUCUGGAUCAUUACUGACACUGAGGAACGAAAGCAUGGGUAGCGAAGAGGAUUAGAUACCCUCGUAGUCCAUGCCGUAAACGAUGUGUG
rnacentral:rRNA from 1 species